UCUACGGGCGGCAGCAGUGGGGAAUAUUGGACAAUGGGCGAAAGCCUGAUCCAGCCAUGCCGCGUGUGUGAAGAAGGCCUUCGGGUUGUAAAGCACUUUCAGUGGGGAAGAAAGCCUUGGGGCUAAUACCCUCGAGGAAGGACAUCACCCACAGAAGAAGCACCGGCUAACUCCGUGCCAGCAGCCGCGGUAAUACGGAGGGUGCGAGGUUAAUCGGAAUUACUGGGCGUAAAGCGCGCGUAGGCGGUCUGAUAAGCCGGUUGUGAAAGCCCCGGGCUCAACCUGGGAACGGCAUCCGGAACUGUCAGGCUAGAGUGCAGGAGAGGAAGGUAGAAUUCCCGGUGUAGCGGUGAAAUGCGUAGAGAUCGGGAGGAAUACCAGUGGCGAAGGCGGCCUUCUGGACUGACACUGACGCUGAGGUGCGAAAGCGUGGGUAGCAAACAGGAUUAGAUACCCUAGUAGUC
rnacentral:rRNA from 1 species